GACGAACGCUGGCGGCGUGCUUAACACAUGCAAGUCGAACGAAGAGCGAUGGAAGCUUGCUUCUAUCAAUCUUAGUGGCGAACGGGUGAGUAACGCGUAAUCAACCUGCCCUUCAGAGGGGGACAACAGUUGGAAACGACUGCUAAUACCGCAUACGAUCUAAUCUCGGCAUCGAGGAUAGAUGAAAGGUGGCCUCUACAUGUAAGCUAUCACUGAAGGAGGGGAUUGCGUCUGAUUAGCUAGUUGGAGGGGUAACGGCCCACCAAGGCGAUGAUCAGUAGCAGGUCUGAGAGGAUGAACGGCCACAUUGGGAAUGAGACACGGCCCAGACUCCUACGGGAGGCAGCAGUGGGGAAACUUCCGCAAUGGACGAAAGUCUGACGGAGCAAAGCCGCGUGAGCGAUGACGGCCUUCGGGUUGUAAAGCUCUGUUAAUCGGGACGAAAGGCCUUCUUGCGAAUAGUGAGAAGGAUUGACGGUACCGGAAUAGAAAGCCACGGCUAACUACGUG
rnacentral:rRNA from 1 species